GUGCGCGGGGAUCGCCUCCGGCCAGCGCGUCGCGCCCGCCGGAGCGCUUGAC
rnacentral:sRNA from 1 species